rnacentral:rRNA from 1 species
GACGAACGCUGGCGGCGUGCUUAACACAUGCAAGUCGUACGGUAAGGCCCUUUCGGGGGUACACGAGUGGCGAACGGGUGAGUAACACGUGAGUAACCUGCCCACAACUUUGGGAUAACGCUAGGAAACUGGUGCUAAUACUGGAUAUGUGCUCCUGCUGCAUGGUGGGGGUUGGAAAGCUCCGGCGGUUGUGGAUGGACUCGCGGCCUAUCAGCUUGUUGGUGGGGUAGUGGCCUACCAAGGCGGCGACGGGUAGCCGGCCUGAGAGGGUGACCGGCCACAUUGGGACUGAGAUACGGCCCAGACUCCUACGGGAGGCAGCAGGGGGGAAUAUUGCACAAUGGGCGCAAGCCUGAUGCAGCAAAGCCGCGUGCGGGAUGACGGCCUUCGGGUUGUAAACCGCUUUCAGCAGGGACGAAGCUUUUUGUGACGGUACCUGCAGAAGAAGCACCGGCUAACUACGUG